rnacentral:lncRNA from 1 species
GCUUAUUGUGCUCUUCCGCUACUACAUCUUGAUAUGAAAUUAACAUGAGUAAAAAUAACGUGGCUGUGUGACAGGGUCUAUCGCCUCAAGCCGAGGUAGCAGCACGGGCUUUUGUGCAAUUGUUAGCCAGGAAGCUGUCCGCGCCUGCUGCUUCCACCUCGUCGCACUUGGGCAGAAACCAACCACCAGUCAGGGCAGUGAGCACACCAGUCAGGGCUGGAGACAGUGCCCAACCUGUGACCAAUAAUGAUAGGGUGAGGCAGGCCAUGCGAAGGCAAUUUCCGAGUAUGUUUGGUGAGCAGCCAAGAGUGAAAAAAAGAUUCACUUCUCCUGCUCCUGCCCCCUGCGUUGUUAAAAGGACAGAUUUUAAUAUGUAUAUCCUUUCGGGACCCAGCCAGUUCACUCCAAAGGGCUCUGAAGAGCUAGAACAUGCACAUGCUGGCCUGGGAAAGAGGAUUCUCAGUAUACCAGACAACCUCAUACACAGUGAGAAUGGGCAUUGAUCUUCACAAUGGAGCAGCUGGUCCAACGAGAGAGGAACAACCAGGACCUUCAGUGCCACGCCCACGAUUAGCGCCAUCUUCUUCAGAAGGUUGUUUCUUCGUAACUAUCACUGCUGUGGUGUACUAUGAAACUAGAAAAACGUUUUAGCCAUAAAUGAGAAAUCUUGCUACAAAAUGAUCCAGUCAUUUUAAAAGGAACAUUGAUUUCAGUUCCUGCAGUUAAUAUAUUGCUUUAAAAUGCUGGGCUUCCAGAAUGUCACUGAAAGGCAUACAAUUUCUGAACUUCCCUGCACCAACAACUUUUUUUUAUUUUCUUCUUUUUAGCAUGGGCCACUGAAGUAGACCCCCAGAAAGCUUGUGAGUUGUUCAGAGAAAAUCUCCUGGACCGUAGCUCUGAAUGUCCAAGCCUCCUCCUCUCUCUCAACAUGUUUGAAGAAGAACAGGACAGUUCAUUUAUUUCAUUCUAUAAAAGGAAUGAUGUUAACUGGGCAAGUCCAUUCAGGUGCAGGCUGAGAGGUAUAAAAAAACAGCAAAACUUAUUUAUUUUCAGCAGAGGCAUUAUCAACUGAAUUUUUACUCAAAAUUGCAUAAUGAGGUUUUAGUGCAUGUUACUUUAUCCAUGGAAGACAGAAUUUGUUGCGCUUGUUGUAGUUUAAUCUUAAGUGUGUAGCACAAUAGCCGUAUAAUGUGGUUGCUUGUACUCUUCUUCUGUAUUCAUCUUUAUUUUAAUAGGAGAUGCAGCAGUCGGCGAUGGUGUCAACCGACAUGUUUUGUC